UUGGAGGGCAAGUCUGGUGCCAGCAGCCGCGGUAAUUCCAGCUCCAAUAGCGUAUAUUAAAGUUGUUGCAGUUAAAAAGCUCGUAGUUGGAUUUCGGGGUUCUACCGUUGGUCGGGCUUUGUCUGUACUGGCGUGUAGAAUUUCUACCUUCUGGGGAACCACCAUGUUAUUUAUUUAGCGUGGUGGGAAACCAGGACCUUUACCUUGAAAAAAUUAGAGUGUUCAAAGCAGGCUUAUGUCUGAAUACAUUAGCAUGGAAUAAUAGAAUAGGACGGUGGUCCUGUUUUGUUGGUUUCUGAAUCACCGUAAUGAUUAAUAGGGAUAGUUGGGGGCAUUAGUAUUCAAUUGUCAGAGGUGAAAUUCUUGGAUUUAUUGAAGACUAUCUUCUGCGAAAGCAUUUGCCAAGGAUGUUUUCAUUAAUCAAGAACGAAAGUUAGGGGAUCGAAGACGAUCAGAUACCGUCGUAGUCUUAACCAUAAACUAUGCCGACUAGGGAUCGGACGAUGUUAAUUUUUCUUGACUCGUUCGGCGCCUUACGGGAAAC
rnacentral:rRNA from 1 species